rnacentral:tRNA from 1 species
GCAGCUGUGGCCUACUGGUUAGGGUUUUGGGCUUGGAACUGAAGGGUUGCCGGUUCGAUCCCCGACCAGUAGAA